AGGGUUUGAUUAUGGCUCAGGAUGAACGCUGGCGGCGUGCUUAACACAUGCAAGUCGAACGAAGCAUUUACGACAGAUUUCUUCGGAUUGAAGUUGUUUAUGACUGAGUGGCGGACGGGUGAGUAACGCGUGGGUAACCUGCCUCAUACAGGGGGAUAGCAGCUGGAAACGGCUGGUAAUACCGCAUAAGCGCACAGCAUCACAUGAUGCAGUGUGAAAAACUCCGGUGGUAUGAGAUGGACCCGCGUCUGAUUAGCUAGUUGGUGAGGUAACGGCCCACCAAGGCGACGAUCAGUAGCCGACCUGAGAGGGUGACCGGCCACAUUGGGACUGAGACACGGCCCAG
rnacentral:rRNA from 1 species